GAAGCAGAGCCCCCUUGGGGCAUCAGACUAAGAGGCCUCCGUGCCAGAAGCUGAUUACGGAAGAGUGCUGUCCUGGGAGGUCACCAGGGAGCCCUGAGGUGACCUGGUGUAGCCAUGGUCCCUUUCCGACCCGUGGCGGGCAGGGAGCGAGUGGUUGCCGCUAGGGCUGCACGGAGCAGCUCCCAGACGUAGUCGCGGCUGGGGACUACAGUUUGGAGAGGGUCCUGGGCACUCUCACUCACCCAGCGUCUUUGACAACGCGGGAGGCCACUCUACCUCGGGACUGUCCCCAAUACCCUCCGCGACAACCCCAAUCGGCCACUUACUUAACCCAGGGCCCGGACGCGAGCAGAGCAGCUACCUGCAGCUGGCCGUAACCCGGCCGACUGGACUUUAGCUGGCGCCUCCGUCCCCGCUGUCCCCGUCGUCUCCGUCGUCCCCGUCGCCUCGAGGAUCCCAGCUGGGCUGCAGACAGUGCCUGGCGUUGCUUCUGCGCGCCCGGCUAAGCUGGACUCUGUGCUCCUCGCUCGCUCCCAGCCGGGCUUAAGCGCUGCCGGGACGCGGAGGCGGAGCCGCCGCCCCCACCUGCUCCUGGCGGACGCCCUGGAGCCUCGCCGCCCAGCGCACGGGGACGCGGUCCAGAGGGCGGGGUCGCUCUGGCACCCAGGAGGCGGUCCUGGCUGCGCGGCGGCGCAGCUCCCAGGUACAGAGUCCCGAGUGUGAGCCACGGGGACAAUGGGGCCAAGAGCUGGAGUUCCCCUGCACGCCACCUCGUCUAUAUAUUACAAACAUUUCUGAGCCCUCGCUAAGCCCCAGACAGCGCGUAUAAGCAAGGGGACAAAAGGAGAAUGGGACAGCCGGUUGUCCCGAUGAGCACAAGCAUGUCCUGAUGGCUCAGAUGGUGCCAAGCUGCACCCGUGAGACAGAGCCCAGACUCUAUUCCAUAUGCACAUUCAAGGACUUCUCCCUCCAGAUGGCUGUGCACGGAGACACCUACAUAUGUUCUACUGGCUACCUGGACACCUUGAACCUGGAGACACUGAAGACCUUUCCUGCCUGGUUCUCUGAUGAAACACACAAAGACAUAACUCAGUCAGUGCAGUCAGGAGUCCCCCUGGCUGUUUCACAACUCCUGAACAUUUAUGCUUCCACGGAUGUCCUGUUUCCUUAUGAAGCAUCCCCACUUCUGCUGUUUGUAUUUCCCCGACUUGGGAUUAAAUCAGUGUGUUCUUCCUGAUGCAUAAUUCAGGAGCACUCGAAAACGAUGUAAUUACAAACCUCAGCUGGCAGAUUGUGAAUUGCGCUCACUGUCAAAACUGCCUGAAGCACGGAGUCCUUUCAGAAUAGUGGGUUAUUGAACCUAGGAUUUGUGCAUCCUGGGCAAAUGCUCUCCCACAGAGAUAAAUCAGCAGCCCACUCAGGCUCUUUCUGCUUGGCCUUGAAAGUUGGAUGCUCUUACCAAGAUACAGAAUUCAUAUGGACCAAGACUACAUUCAGUUUAGAGAUUAAGGGGCAGGACACAGGUAUGCUUGGCAGCUGGAAUGGCCAAAAAAUGUUCCAAUAAUACUUUAUUAAUGCUGAAGAUUUGGAAGGGCAGAACUGCUGAAGAGAGCAUGUGAAGAUAGAUAUACAUCUGGCAACUCUGAAAGAUUUUCUGUUGGAUGGAUAAGCCUAUAAAGAGCUGCUUUUUUUAGAAUUACAUGGGGAAAUCUUCAGAACUGCUAAUUCUUCAUACUUGGUGUUAUCCCACUGGAACGAAUGUGGAGCUAGGUCGGAGAAGCCAUGCUAGGCUGCCAGAUGUUUUGGGUGAUAUAUGCCACGAGCAACUUUUAUGAAGGAAAAACAUUUGAUUAAAAGAUACCAACCUUAUCUAUUCAUAAUUUAAUAAUUGGUUUAUAAAAUGAAAGAAAGGAACAAGAUUCAACAAUGAUCCUUCAAGGUUCAUGAUUCAUCCAUAUGGAAAUGAGGCAAAGAAUUUCAACUUGCCACUGGCAUCAGUCUCAAGGGCCUUGCUGAGGAGAGGGAAAGUGCUAAUUCUGUGACAUGGUCCAGCUGCAUCCAGUGUCCUCAAGUCAUUUUGUGUGGCAGUGCACACUGCACGUAAUAGGAUGUACACGGGAGAUAUGGAGAGGCCAUGACUAAUUCCAUAACAUCCUUUGGGAAGUCACAAAAAGCCCACAGAAAGGAAACUGGCAGAUGCUUCAGACCAGCCUAGAAACACUAUGAACAUACACUAUCUCACAGCAGAAAAGCCAGUGCUGAGGAGCAGGAGCUGUGAAAAGCAGGGGCACGAGGAGGGGUGAACUCUCAUGGAAGAACUCAUCGGGACAGAGCAAAACAGACAUACAUACGAGGCACGGCAAAAGACCCAAGGCAAGCACAGAGACCUCAGGCGGAUUUUCAGAAGGACUGAGAUUCUAGCUAUGCACAGCAGGCCUGAGCUCAUCUCUGCGGUCAGGAGCGAGCAAAAAUCGAGAGUAAGAAUAGCAGGAAGACAUUCGUUAACGGUGUUCUUUGGCCUUGGACUAGAAGAUCAUAUAUAGCAACUGUUGGUGUCUAAGCUGCACCGAGUGAUCUGAUUGAUGCCUCCCGCCCUGCAGUCCAAGACCCUGGAAUCUUCCUGCCAAUCUCCACAGGCGCCUGUCUCCAUCUGAUUGGUGGAGAUGGGCAUCUCGUGGAGACCAGCUCUUCCUCCUGGCUGGCUACAAAAGUUGCUCUGUUUGCAGGAAUGACGGCGGACUGGUCUUUGAUUUGAAGAGUUCCUGACUUGUAUUCAGUCUGCCUUUCCUGUCACUGUGAUCAGCACAGCUGCUCGACACCCCCUGCCUUCCCUUCCCUGUGAUCAGAGAAUGCCGGGCUUCUCCACGCUGAUGCACAUACUGCUGGCAUGGCGAGUCUUUGCUGCUCUCAAGCUGAAGCUCAUCUCCUCUCCCUCCACAGCUCCUAGAAAAUCUUUUCCACCCUAUUCAGCUUCUCCAUGUGGCAGCUCGUGGUCUCCAUUAGAGUCUCACAGAACACACUGACAUUUGAUUCUAACUCAAGGGCCACCUUUACAAAGCAAACGUUCCCAGACUUCCCACUGGAGGAGUGCUCUGCCUUUGGGGUUCCAGUCUUUAUUGCAUUUAUCACUGCCUUGUAUUAGAGAUCAGUGGCCGCUCUGACCCCCUAUUAGACCAGGAACUCAGGAAAUGCCCCUGUGCCCCGUCACCUUUGGUUCUUCCUGCAAGGCUCUAAUGGGAUUCCUUCCUCUAGCAGCCAAUGAACAAAUACAGCCCUAGUACAUGGAGAAAGCCAGAUGUCUAGAAAAAGGAGAACAAGCGUACCUCACAUAAUCUCACAUUCAUUUUAAGAUCAUCACUGCCCCUACACCCAGCUUCUGAGGACUAGGACCACCCAAGGCUGCUCUCUUCUAAUGGCUCCUUUCCUUGAUUCAGUCUUAAGGUUAAGUUGUCCCUGAAGGAGCUGAAUGGAGGUUUGGUAUACCUUACAAGUGUUUCCAGGCUUAGCCUAAAGAUAAAAAGGAGGCUGAGGUAAAAGAUCUUUUCUCAAACCUUCAUUGUUAGUAAAUGAACAGAGACUCUUGGAUACAAGAGCUUGUUCUUCAGUGUCUGAUAGGCCAAGUGCCUGAUUAUACCACUGGAGAAUCAAAUUAAAUAACCCUUUAUAUGGGAAGCGGGCAGAAGAGUGUCUCCUCCUCCUUGUGGUAUACUGCUAUUGAAUAUAAAUUUAAUUUGUUGAAUAUAAGAUUUAAUUUGUUCUCUUGUGUGUCAUUACUUGUAACUAGCAUUUUUAAUUUCUAUUCAUGACAGUGACUUCGCCUUUCUUGAACAGUUUCCAGAGCCUUUACCCAAACACAAGAUGCCUUCAGCCUCAGGCAGGCACCACACACAGUCCUUCUGUGAGUCCUCUUUACAGGGAGCGUCAGCUUCCCAAGAGAAUGGCAGCUUCAGCGGUCACCCCAGUCACCCUCUUACUACUGAAAAAUGCUUACAAGACUCUCUUGGGACCAUCACUGCCCCCUGCCCCCAGGAAACACCUCCCACAGGGCCCUUUAUCUGCACAUCACAGGAGGAUCCUCAGCCUUUACAACCUCCAAGGCACUGGCCUCAACACACAUUGGAUGCUGACCUACUCUUGCCUAUAAGGAGACCAGGCACUUUCUCUCUGUGUUCUUCUUAAGUCAGGGUUUCUCCCUGGACCUGACAUUCGAGUCAGUUCAGUCUUCGUCCUGAGGGGCUGUGCUGUGUGGUAUAAACUUUUUGGCAGCUUGUGCUCUCUCUUCACUAGAUGCCCAUAGAAACCCCCGCUGUGAUGGCUGAAGGAUAUUGCUGAAUACUUCCCGGCUUGCCUCUUGUGGGUCUUGCCUGUCUUACAUUAAUACCAUAAACAUUCAAGUGUGCUUGCUAAAUGCCAGGGCCUGUGCUAAAUACAUCUCAUGUUUGAAUUCACUAAAGAUUUAUAAGCC
ensembl:processed_transcript 9130019P16Rik RIKEN cDNA 9130019P16 gene